rnacentral:rRNA from 1 species
UACGUAGGGAGCAAGCGUUGUCCGGAAUCAUUGGGCGUAAAGCGCGCGUAGGCGGCCCUGUAAGUCCGUUGUGAAAGUCAAAGGCUCAACCUUUGAAAGCCGAUGGAUACUGCAGGGCUAGAGUCCGGAAGAGGCGAGUGGAAUUCCUGGUGUAGCGGUGAAAUGCGCAGAUAUCGGGAGGAACACCAAUUGCGAAGGCAGCUCGCUGGGACGUUACUGACGCUGAGACGCGAAAGCGUGGGGAGCAAACAGG